UACGAAGGGGGCUAGCGUUGCUCGGAAUCACUGGGCGUAAAGCGCACGUAGGCGGACUCUUAAGUCAGGGGUGAAAUCCUGGAGCUCAACUCCAGAACUGCCUUUGAUACUGAAGAUCUUGAGUUCGGGAGAGGUGAGUGGAACUGCGAGUGUAGAGGUGAAAUUCGUAGAUAUUCGCAAGAACACCAGUGGCGAAGGCGGCUCACUGGCCCGAUACUGACGCUGAGGCACGAAAGCGUGGGGAGCAAACAGG
rnacentral:rRNA from 1 species